GGGCGAUUAGCUCAGUUGGUUAGAGCGCUUCGUUUACACCGAAGAGGUCAAAGGUUCGAAUCCUUUAUCGCCCACCA
rnacentral:tRNA from 1 species